UUAUUCAGCAAUGGAUAACUGAGUGGCGAACGGGUGAGUAACACGUGGGUGACCUACCUUCGAGUGGGGGAUAACGUCCCGAAAGGGACGCUAAUACCGCAUAACAUCCUGCCUUUGAACAGGUGGAGAUCAAAGCCGGGGAUCGCAAGACCUGGCGCUUGAUGAGGGGCCCGCGCCUGAUUAGCUAGUUGGUGAGGUAACGGCUCACCAAGGCGACGAUCAGUAUCCGGCCUGAGAGGGCGGACGGACACACUGGGACUGAGACACGGCCCAGACUCCUACGGGAGGCAGCAGUGGGGAAUUGUUCGCAAUGGGCGCAAGCCUGACGACGCAACGCCGCGUGGAGGAUGAAGGUCUUCGGAUUGUAAACUCCUGUUGCUCGGGACGAAAAGCUUCGACCUAACACGUCGAAGUCUGACGGUACCGAGUGAGGAAGCCCCGGCUAACUCUGUGCCAGCAGCCGCGGUAAUACAGAGGGGGCAAGCGUUGUUCGGAAUUACUGGGCGUAAAGGGCGCGUAGGCGGCCUGCUAAGUCGAACGUGAAAUCCCUGGGCUCAACCCAGGAACUGCGUCCGAUACUGGUUGGCUUGAAUCCGGGAGAGGGAUGUGGAAUUCCAGGUGUAGCGGUGAAAUGCGUAGAUAUCUGGAGGAACACCGGUGGCGAAGGCGACAUCCUGGACCGGUAUUGACGCUGAGGCGCGAAAGCCAGGGGAGCAAACGGGAUUAGAUACCCCGGUAGUCCUGGCCCUAAACGAUGAAUGCUUGGUGUGGCGGGUAUCGAUCCCUGCCGUG
rnacentral:rRNA from 1 species